CAGGUCAAUAAAUGUGAAUGUUAUGUUGUAACUGAUAUAUCUCUCUCAAGGUUUUCCAAGGAGAGCUGACAUACUCAACAAAGUGCUCCAAAGGCCACAUCAUCAAUGACGAGACAAACCCAUUCUGGACUCUUCCAAUGCCACUGAAAGAUACCCGUGAUUCAACCUUCAGUUUGGAACAAGGUUUUGAAAGGAUUUUCGAGACAAAAACAUUCAGCGGAGACAACAUGGUGUACUGCAACGAAUGUAAAAGGAAAACAGAGGCAACAAGUGGGUGUGAGAUGACAGAGUUCCCUCCGAAUUUGAUUCUGCUUCUCAAGAGAUUUGACUUCGACUACAGCACCAUGUCACAUUUCAAAUCAGACUGCUGUGUGGAAGUGCCACGUGUCCUACAGAGAAAGGCAAGAGGAAGUAACUAUGAACAGUGUUUGCUUUUGAAAUCCCUUCUUGUACCUGACUGGGUUCGUCCUUGCAGAACA
rnacentral:lncRNA from 1 species